rnacentral:rRNA from 1 species
CUGAACCUUAUCAUUUAGAGGCAGGAGAAGUCGUAACAAGGUUUCCGUAGGUGAACCUACGGAAGGAUCAUUGUCGAAACCUGCCCAACAGAACGACCCGCGAAACUGUGAUUAUGCUUGAGGGGGACCGAUGCAGGUCGCUCGAGCUCGUGGAGCCAGACCAACGCGAGCCUUACCCCCUAGCCAUGGUGGACGAGCCAAACCUCGCUCCUGGUGGCAAAACAAUGAACCCCGACACGAAAUGCGCCAAGGAUAAUCCAACGAGGGGAGUGCGCUGCCGCCGGCCAGAAAGCGGUGCCGUGCGGGAUGCGCUACCUCCUUUCAACGAAAACAAAAAAAAUGACUUUCGACAACGGAUAUCUCGACUCUCGCAUCGAUAAAAAAACGUAGUGAAAUGCGAUACUUGGUGUGAAUUGCAGAAUCCCGUGAACCAUCGAGUCUUUGAACGCAAGUUGCACCCUAAGCCUUUAGGCCGAGGGCACGUCUGCCUGGGUGUCACGCAUCAUUGUUCCCCAAAACCCCUUAUGUAGGGAUUGCUGAGAGGGCGUAAAUUGGCCUCCCGUUAGUUUCGAGCUCAGGGUUGGCCCAAAUUUGAGUCUUCGGCGACCGUGCCGCUAUGAUCGGUGGUAAAAAUGGCCUCUCGAGCUCUCGUCGCAUGCUCGCUUCUCCGCGUUGCUGGCUCGCGGACCUUUUGGGCGCCUUGUGUUGUAGGCGCUGCUCGCUCUGCGACCCCAGGUCAGGCGGGACUACCCACUGAGUUUAAGCAUAUCAAUAAGCGGA